rnacentral:rRNA from 1 species
CCUACGGGUGGCAGCAGUGAGGAAUAUUGGUCAAUGGCCGUAAGGCUGAACCAGCCAAGUCGCGUGUAGGAAGAAGGAUCUAUGGUUUGUAAACUUCUUUUAUAGGGGAAUAAAGGUUUCCACGUAUGCAUAUUUUCAUGUACCCUAUGAAUAAGAGUCGGCUAACUCCGUGCCAUCAGCCGCGGUAAUACGGAGGAUGCGAGGGUUAUCCUGAUUUAUUGGGUUUAACGGGUGCGUAGGUGGUUUUUUAAGUUAGUGGUGAAAGUUUGUGGCUCAACCAUAAAAUUGCAGGUGAGACUGGAAGACUUGAGUGUGUUAGAGGGAGGCGGAAUGCGAGGUGUAGCGGUGAAAUGCAUAGAUAUCACGCAGAACUCCGAUUGCGAAGGCAGCGUACUAAGCCAAAACUGACACUGAAGUACGAAAGCGUGGGGAUCAAACAGGAUUAGAUACCCUUGUAGUC